rnacentral:rRNA from 1 species
UACAGAGGUCUCAAGCGUUGUUCGGAUUUACUGGGCGUAAAGGGCGCGUAGGCGGCCAGCACAAGUCAGUUGUGAAAUCUCCGAGCUUAACUCGGAAAGGUCAACUGAUACUGUGCGGCUAGAGUGCAGAAGGGGCAACUGGAAUUCUUGGUGUAGCGGUGAAAUGCGUAGAUAUCAAGAGGAACACCGGCGGCGAAGGCGGGUUGCUGGGCUGACACUGACGCUGAGGCGCGAAAGCUAGGGGAGCGAACGGG